AGAGCCUGUUGUUUAUGAAUUUUUUUUUUUUUUCCCCUGUUCCCAAAUCUCUCCUUCCUUGAGUUCUUCCCCCUCUCUUCCUUUCCCUCUCGGUUAUGUGAAACUCGAAGAAUAAAACAAAACGAAGCAAAAACACUAUCAAAAUCUCUAGGGUUUUUUCAACUCUCAAUCUGUUCAAUCAAACGCUUUCAGAUUCCACUCUCUCCAUCGAAUUCUAUCACUUCCCUGGGUUAUUGCAAUGCACCGUGUGGGUAGUGCAGGGAACAAUUCCAAUUC
rnacentral:misc_RNA from 1 species